rnacentral:rRNA from 1 species
GACGAACGCUGGCGGCGUGCUUAACACAUGCAAGUCGAACGAAGUGGCGAACGGGUGAGUAACGCGUAAUCAACCUGCCCUUCAGAGGGGGAGAACAGUUGGAAACGACUGCUAAUACCGCAUAAGGAAGGAGGGGAUUGCGGCGGAUUGGCUAGUUGGAGGGGUAACGGCCCAACAAGGCGAUGGUCAGUAGCCGGUCUGAUAGGAUGAACGGCCACAUUUGGACUGAGUAACGGCCCAGACUCCUUCGGGAGGCAGCAGUGGGUAAUCUUCCGCAAUGGACGAAAGUCUGACGGAGCAACGCCGCGUGAGUGAUGACGGCCUUCGGGUUGUAAAGCUCUGUUAAUCGGGACGCGGUACCGGAAUAGAAAGCCACGGCUAACUACGUGCCAGCCGCCGCGGUAAUUC